ACGAAGGGGGCUAGCGUUGUUCGGAUUUACUGGGCGUAAAGCGCACGUAGGCGGGUCGUUAAGUCAGGGGUGAAAUCCCGGAGCUCAACUCCGGAACUGCCUUUGAUACUGGCGACCUUGAGGCUGGAAGAGGUUAGUGGAAUUCCCAGUGUAGAGGUGAAAUUCGUAGAUAUUGGGAAGAACACCAGUGGCGAAGGCGGCUAACUGGUCCAGAUCUGACGCUGAGGUGCGAAAGCGUGGGGAGCAAACAGGA
rnacentral:rRNA from 1 species